GAUGAACGCUGGCGGCGUGCCUAAUACAUGCAAGUCGAGCGAACAGACGAGGAGCUUGCUUCUCUGACGUUAGCGGCGGACGGGUGAGUCACACGUGGAUAACCUACCUAUAAGACUGGGAUACCUUCGGGAAACCGGAGCUAAUACCGGAUCAUAUAUUGAACCGCAUGGUUCUAUAGUGAAAGACGGUUUUGCUGUCACUUAUAGAUGGAUCCGCGCCGCAUUAGCUAGUUGGUAAGGUAACGGCUUACCAAGGCAACGAUGCGUAGCCGAUCUGAGAGGGUGAUCAGCCACACUGGAACUGAGACACGGUCCAGACUCCUACGGGAGGCAGCAGUAGGGAAUCUUCCGCAAUGGGCGAAAGCUUGACGGAGCAACGCCGCGUGAGUGAUGAAGGUCUUCGGAUCGUAAAACUCUGUAAGUAGGGAAGAACAAAUGUGUAAGUAACUAUGCACGUCUUGACGGUACCUAAUCAGAAAGCCACGGCUAACUACGUG
rnacentral:rRNA from 1 species